UGGGGAAUAUUGGACAAUGGGCGCAAGCCUGAUCCAGCAAUGCCGCGUGUGUGAAGAAGGCCUUCGGGUUGUAAAGCACUUUUAUCAGGAGCGAAACGCUGUCGGCUAAUACCCGGCGGAACUGACGGUACCUGAGGAAUAAGCACCGGCUAACUUCGUGCCAGCAGCCGCGGUAAUACGAAGGGUGCAAGCGUUAAUCGGAAUUACUGGGCGUAAAGCGUGCGUAGGCGGUUUCUUAAGUCUGCUGUGAAAUCCCCGGGCUCAACCUGGGAAUGGCAGUGGAUACUGGGAGGCUAGAGUGUGUCGGAGGGUGGUGGAAUUCCCCGGUGUAGCGGUGAAAUGCGUAGAGAUCGGGAGGAACAUCAGUGGCGAAGGCGGCCACCUGGGACAACACUGACGCUGAGGCACGAAAAGCGUGGGGAGCAAACAGGAUUAGAUACCCUGGUAGUCCACGCCCUAAACGAUGCGAACUGGAUGUUGGUCUCAACUCGGAGAUCAGUGUCGAAGCUAACGCGUUAAGUUCGCCGCCUGGGGAGUACGGUCGCAAGACUGGAAACUCAAAUGAAUUGACGGGGUCAUAGCUGUUUCCUG
rnacentral:rRNA from 1 species